GCAAGUCGAGCGAGAACUUCCUUUCGGGGAAGGGAAAGCGGCAAACGGGUGCGUAACACGUGAGCAACCUGCCUUUAAGUAGGGGAUAGCUCGUUGAAAAAUGGGUUAAUACCGUAUGUGGUCCUUUUCUGCAUGGGAAAGGCACUAAAGCUUGUAACGGCGCUUAAAGAGGGGCUCGCGGCCUAUCAGCUUGUUGGUGAGGUAAUGGCUCACCAAGGCGAAGACGGAUAGCUGGUCUGAGAGGAUGAUC
rnacentral:rRNA from 1 species